rnacentral:lncRNA from 1 species
GGGACUGGAGGACUGGAGUUUGGCUGUUGGGGGUGCUGGAGGAUUGGAGUUUUGCUGUUGGGGGUACUGGAGGACUGGAGUUGGGCUGUUGGGGAGACUGGAGGACUGGAGUUGGGCUGUUGGGGGGACUGGAGUUGGGCUGUUGGGGGACUGGAGUUGGGCUGUUGGGAGUACUGUAGUAGUAGCUAGUACUGUUAGCUGUUAGCUACUGAAGCUAGUAUUGUUAGCUGUUAGCUGUUAGCUAGCUAGUACUGUUAGCUGUUAGCUAGCUAGUACUGUUAGCUGUUAGCUAGCUAGUAUUGUUAGCUGUUAGCUACUGUAGCUAGUACUGUAAGCUAGCCAGAUAGCCACGAAGAAAUGUUAGCUAGCUACCCUAGAAUUUACCUAACAUUAGUAACAUUAGUUUUAGGUCAUUUUUGCCUGUUAAAAUGUCUGGUUAGCUACAUUAUUAUGAAUCACAUAUAGUUAUGAUUCACAUAACUAUCAUAGCUGAUAGUUAUGAAGUAAAACGUUUUCUUAGUGUAUAUCUUGUUUGGUCUCUAUUUUUGCCAUUGUCCUGGCUGGAAGGCAGUUCAGUGUAUGGGUUAGUCCAUAGUAAGUCAAUAGGGCUAACUGGCUAGCUAGCUAGCCACAAACAAUUGGUAGCUAGCUACUCACGAAAAAUGUACAUCUACCUUGCAUAACAUUAGUUUUUAGCUCAUUUUUGCCUGUUUAACUAGCUGGCUAGCAAGAUUAUUACAAUUGACAUAAAUCGAGCUGAUAAUUAUGAAGUAAAAUGUUUUCUGUGUGUAUAUCUUGUUUGGUCUCUAUUGUUACCAUUGUCCUGGCUGGAAGACAGUUAAGUGAAGUGAGGAGGUGCAGCGUGAGGUAAUAGAGUUGGGGGAGGAACAGCGUGAGGUAAUACAGUAGGGGGAGGAGCAGCGUGAGGUAAUACAGUAGGGGGAGGAGCUGCGUGAGGUAAUACAGUAGGGGGAGGAGCAGCGUGAGGUAAUACAGUAGGGGGAGGAGCAGCGUGAGGUAAUACACUAGGGGGAUCAGCAGCGUGAGGUAAUACAGUAGGGGGAGGAGCAGCGUGAGGUAAUACAGUAGGGGGAGGAGCAGCGUGAGGUAAUACAGUAGGGGGAGGAGCAGCGUGAGGUAAUACAGUAGGGGGAGGAGCAGCGUGAGGUAAUACAGUAGGGGGAGGAGCAGCGUGAGGUAGUAGAGUAGGGGGGGGAGAGUGCUUCUAAAAUGUAAUGAUUUAUGCGUUCUCCACACUCUCAUCCUCACAAGAUCGUAUUGAAGAGCACAUCCUCGGAGAAUGAGAGUGUGGAGAGAGAGAGAGACAGGGGUCAGGUCUGUGUGGGUGGUGAUGGUGUAGUAGAGGUAGUGAUGGGGUCAGGUCUGUGUGGGUGGUGAUGGUGUAGUAGAGGUAGUGAUGGGGUCAGGUCUGUGUGGGUGGUGAUGGUGUAGUAGAGGUAGUGAUGGGGUCAGGUCUGUGUGGGUGGUGACGGUGUAGUAGAGGUAGUGAUGGGGUCAGGUCUGUGUGGGUGGUGAUGGUGUAGUAGAGGUAGUGAUCGGGUCAGGUCUGUGUGGGUGGUGAUGGUGUAGUAGAGGUAGUGAUGGGGUCAGGUCUGUGUGGGUGGUGAUGGUGUAGUAGAGGUAGUGAUGGGGUCAGGUCUGUGUGGGUGGUGAUGGUGUAGUAGAGGUAGUGAUCGGGUCAGGUCUGUGUGGGUGGUGAUGGUGUAGUAGAGGUAGUGAUGGGGUCAGGUCUGUGGGUGGUGAUGGUGUAGUAGAGGUAGUGAUGGGGUCAGGUCUGUGUGGGUGGUGAUGGUGUAGUAGAGGUAGUGAUGGGGUCAGGUCUGUGUGGGUGGUGAUGGUGUAGUAGAGGUAGUGAUGUGGUCAGGUCUGUGUGGGUGGUGAUGGUGUAGUAGAGGUAGUGAUGGGGUCAGGUCUGUGUGGGUGGUGACGGUGUAGUAGAGGUAGUGAUGGGGUCAGGUCUGUGUGGGUGGUGAUGGUGUAGUAGAGGUAGUGAUGGGGUCAGGUCUGUGUGGGUGGUGAUGGUGUAGUAGAGGUAGUGAUGGGGUCAGGUCUGUGUGGGUGGUGACGGUGUAGUAGAGGUAGUGAUGGGGUCAGGUCUGUUAUUAUGAAGGUAGUGACAUAUUCCAAUAUAGAAAAAGUCAUUCUGUUGAUCUUAGAUGGACCAAUUGUUUAAUCAACACUAACUGUUUUAUCAAUAACGGAUAAGAUCCUAAAGUUAACAUCAGUAUUUCACAGUGUUAUUGUUGGACUGGUGUGUGUGUGACAGGUAUGACGUAAGAGGAAGAACAAUACGAGUGAACAACUCUUUAAUGUUUAAAACUCCCAGCGAUGAAGACCGACACACACACACACACACACACACACACACACACACACACACACACACACAGACACAGAGUAUAAUUGCUGGAUAAGGGGUUGAAAUGUCUAUCAUAGCUAGAGGUGGGGAGGAGGGGGUGUUGAGGCCUCUGGAAAGGCCAGGGCAGACAGGAGAUCACAUGGAAGUGGUUUGAUCAUACAUAAGAUACGGUUAUACAGUUUAGAAGAGGAAGUUAGAGGGGGAGGAAUGUAGGUGAGGGAGGAAGAGAGAGC